rnacentral:rRNA from 1 species
GGAAACAGGUGCUAAUACCGUAUAACACUAUUUUCCGCAUGGAAGAAAGUUGAAAGGCGCUUUUGCGUCACUGAUGGAUGGACCCGCGGUGCAUUAGCUAGUUGGUGAGGUAACGGCUCACCAAGGCCACGAUGCAUAGCCGACCUGAGAGGGUGAUCGGCCACACUGAGACUGAGACACGGCCCAGACUCCUACGGGAGGCAGCAGUAGGGAAUCUUCGGCAAUGGACGAAAGUCUGACCGAGCAACGCCGCGUGAGUGAAGAAGGUUUUCGGAUCGUAAAACUCUGUUGUUAGAGAAGAACAAGGAUGAGAGUAGAACGUUCAUCCCUUGACGGUAUCUAACCAGAAAGCCACGGCUAACUACGUGCCAGCAGCCGCGGUAAUACGUAGGUGGCAAGCGUUGUCCGGAUUUAUUGGGCGUAAAGCGAGCGCAGGCGGUUUCUUAAGUCUGAUGUGAAAGCCCCCGGCUCAACCGGGGAGGGUCAUUGGAAACUGGGAGACUUGAGUGCAGAAGAGGAGAGUGGAAUUCCAUGUGUAGCGGUGAAAUGCGUAGAUAUAUGGAGGAACACCAGUGGCGAAGGCGGCUCUCUGGUCUGUAACUGACGCUGAGGCUCGAAAGCGUGGGGAGCGAACAGGAUUAGAUACCCUGGUAGUCCACGCCGUAAACGAU